rnacentral:SRP_RNA from 1 species
GCCGGGCAUGGUGGCGCGUGCCUGUAAUCCCAGAUACUCAGGAGGCUGAGGCAGGAGAAUCGCUUGAACCUGGGAUGUGGAGGUUGCAGUGAGCCAAGACGGUGCCACUGCACUCCAGCCUGGACAACAGAGCGAGACUCUGUCUCUA